rnacentral:rRNA from 2 species
UGCAAGUCGAGCGGAGAUUUGAAAAGCUUGCUUUUCAAAUCUUAGCGGCGGACGGGUGAGUAACACGUGGGCAACCUGCCCUUGAGACGGGGAUAACUCCGGGAAACCGGAGCUAAUACCGGAUAACACAUAUCUUCGCAUGAGGAUAUGUUAGAAGGUGGCUUUUAGCUACCACUCAAGGAUGGGCCCGCGGCGCAUUAGCUAGUUGGUGAGGUAACGGCUCACCAAGGCGACGAUGCGUAGCCGACCUGAGAGGGUGAUCGGCCACACUGGGACUGAGACACGGCCCAGACUCCUACGGGAGGCAGCAGUAGGGAAUCUUCCGCAAUGGACGAAAGUCUGACGGAGCAACGCCGCGUGAGUGAUGAAGGUUUUCGGAUCGUAAAGCUCUGUUGUUAGGGAAGAACAAGUACCUGUUGAAUAAGCAGGUACCUUGACGGUACCUAACCAGAAAGCCACGGCUAACUACGUGCCAGCAGCCGCGGUAAUACGUAGGUGGCAAGCGUUGUCCGGAAUUAUUGGGCGUAAAGCGCGCGCAGGCGGUUCCUUAAGUCUGAUGUGAAAGCCCACGGCUCAACCGUGGAGGGUCAUUGGAAACUGGGGAACUUGAGUGCAGAAGAGGAGAGCGGAAUUCCACGUGUAGCGGUGAAAUGCGUAGAGAUGUGGAGGAACACCAGUGGCGAAGGCGGCUCUCUGGUCUGUAACUGACGCUGAGGCGCGAAAGCGUGGGGAGCGAACAGGAUUAGAUACCCUGGUAGUCCACGCCGUAAACGAUGAGUGCUAAGUGUUAGAGGGUUUCCGCCCUUUAGUGCUGCAGCAAACGCAUUAAGCACUCCGCCUGGGGAGUACGGUCGCAAGACUGAAACUCAAAGGAAUUGACGGGGACCCGCACAAGCGGUGGAGCAUGUGUUUUAAUUCGAAGCAACGCG